AGCAGCCGCGGUAAUCCCAGCUCCAAUAGCGUAUAUUAAAGUUGUUGCAGUUAAAAAGCUCGUAGUUGAAUUUCAGGCCUGGCUGGACGGUCCGCCCUUCGGGUGAGUACUGUCUGUGGUCGGGUCCUACCUUCUGGCGAAGCGUCAUGGCCUUAACCGGCCGUGGCGGGGAACCAGGACUUUUACUGUGAAAAAAUUAGAGUGUUCAAAGCAGGCAAUCGCUUGGAUACAUUAGCAUGGAAUAAUGGAAUAGGACAAUGGUUCUAUUUGUUGGUUUCUAGGACCGUUGUAAUGAUUAAUAGGGAUAGUUGGGGGCAUUAGUAUUCAAUUGUCAGAGGUGAAAUUCUUGGAUUUAUUGAAGACUAACUACUGCGAAAGCAUUUGCCAAGGAUGUUUUCAUUAAUCAAGAACGAAAGUUAGGGGAUCGAAGACGAUCAGAUACCGUCGUAGUCUUAACCAUAAACUAUGCCGACUAGGAAUCGGGCGAUGUUGAAAAAAUGACGC
rnacentral:rRNA from 1 species